rnacentral:rRNA from 1 species
UAGGGAAUCUUCCACAAUGGACGCAAGUCUGAUGGAGCAACGCCGCGUGAGUGAAGAAGGUUUUCGGACCGUAAAGCUCUGUUGUUGGUGAAGAAGGAUAGAGGUAGUAACUGGCCUUUAUUUGACGGUAAUCAACCAGAAAGUCACGGCUAACUACGUGCCAGCAGCCGCGGUAAUACGUAGGCGGCAAGCGUUGUCCGGAUUUAUUGGGCGUAAAGCGAGCGCAGGCGGAAGAAUAAGUCUGAUGUGAAAGCCCUCGGCUUAACCGAGGAAUUGCAUCGGAAACUGUUUUCUUGAGUGCAGAAGAGGAGAGUAGAACUCCAUGUGUAGCGGUGGAAUGCGUAGAUAUAUGGAAGAAUACCAGUGGCGAAGGCGGCUCUCUGGUCUGCAACUGACGCUGAGGCUCGAAAGCAUGGGUAGCGGACAGGAUUAGAUACCCUGGUAGUCCAUGCCGUAAACGAUGAGUGCUAAGUGUUGGGAGGCUUCCGCCUCUCAGUGCUGCAGCUAACGCAUUAAGCACUCCGCCUGGGGAGUACGACCGCAAGGUUGAAAC